UCCAGUCUGCUCACUGAUAAUUUAAAGAGCCGCAGUAUAUUGACUGUGCAAAGGUAGCAUAAUCAAUAGUUUUUUAAUUGAAAACUUGUAUGAAAGAUUAGACGAGAAAUUUAUUUUCUUUAUUUUAUAGAAUUGAAUUUUAAUUUUAAGUGAAAAUGCUUAAUUAAAUUUAAAAGACGAGAAGACCCUAUAGAUUUUUAUUACUUAAAUAAAUUUAAUAAAAAAUUUAGUAAAGUAAUUUCAUUGGGGUGAUUUUGUAAUAAAAUAAACUUAAUUUUUUAUAACCAAAAAUAAUUGAAAUUUUUGAUCUAAAAUUUUUAAAGAAAAGAUUAAAUUACCUUAGGGAUAACAGCGUAAUUUUUUUUAAGAGUUCAUAUCUAUAAAAAAGUUUGCGACCUCGAUGUUGAAUUAAGAUAAUAUAUUGAAGUAG
rnacentral:rRNA from 1 species